AUGUCCAGGCAUGAAGGUCUGCGAGGUCACUUGAUGGCCCCAGAUCUCCAGUCUGGGGGUCUCCAGCACCAAAUAUUCAAAGGGGGGAGGGGGUGGGGGGGUGUGCAAUGUCCCAUAAUAUCCCAAAUCUUCAAGGGUGGAGGUCUUCGAUGUCCCCAGCCUCCGAGCGAGGGCGGCACCAGCCCCAGAUCUCCGUGCCUGGAGGUCAGCAGUGUCCCUUGGUGUCCCCAGAUCUCUGGGCGUGGGGGUUUGGAACCCAAAUCUCAGGGCACGGGGUCACCGACGUCCCCAAAUCUCCAGGCAUGGAAGUCAGCAACGUCCCUCGACGUCCCCAAACCUCCAACCGGGGGGUGGUAUGGAUGGGGGGUGACCGUCCCCAAACCCCUCCGGGUCCCCUUUUCCGUGCCAGCAGCGGCCGCGUCCCUGCUGUCACCCCCCGGCGAUGCGCAGCAGCCCCACGAAAUUCCCCUCCCGCUGGUCCUGCGCCAUCUGCCACUCGUCCCCGCCGAUGUCCCCGACCAGCUCCACGUCCAGGACGUCCCCGGGCUGCAGCAGCCCCACGGCCUGAGCCAAACCCGAGCGGGCAGGGCCGGGGUCGGUGGCACCGGGCAGCACCAGCGGCACGGAGAGCAGCGGGGGCACGGAGCCGGCACGGCGCAGCUGCAGGGUGACGUUGCCGGGGGGGCAAUUUUCGGCUAUGCAGGUGAGGGCGAAUUGCCCGUAGAGGAGGUAGAGCCCCCCCGCCGCCACCUGCAGCCCCGCGGCCGUCACCUCCAGGUCACUGCUGAGGAAGACUCCGCUGAUGCCUUCCUCGUAGCGCCACAAGGGUCUGGAGGACACCGCCAGCGAGCCUGGGGGGGACACAAAAUGGGAAUGGGGUUAAUAUGGGGGGGGGAGUGGGUGGUGGUAGUAGGGAGUGGGUGUCCCCAUUGGGGAAUGGGGUGGCCCCGAGGGGAAAUGGGGGUGACCCCAAUGGGAAAUGGGGGUGGCCCCAAGGGGAAACGGGGAUUGCGAUGGGGGAGAGAUGACACCACGGAGCCUGCAGGGCCGGAGGCUGCUCCGUGA
rnacentral:lncRNA from 1 species